GUCGUCGUGAGGCGGGGUUUGAAGGAAGUGUGUACCAAAGGCCUGACAAACAGAAACCAGAUAUGAGGCCUGUUCUGGCCAGACGAGCGGGUAAAUGAUCACGAAGUCCAUAACCAUCAAGGUCCGGGGUGGUAGGUCUGGCAGGUGUGUAGCGAAAGCGGUUGAGC
rfam:Candidatus Burkholderia pumila strain TZHbot3 BPMIctg61, whole genome shotgun sequence.